AUGCAAGGAAAAACAAACCCCAAACAAGCCAAAGCAUUUCUCUCUCUCUCUCUCUCUCAGCUCUGUUAUGUGCAGGUUCCCAGGAGUGGGGUGGGAGGACUCGAUGCAAGGCUGAAUCUGAAGUUCUGUGUCUUGCACGCGGGCUUCCUCUCCGGUGUGAUGUUCUCCUUCUUGUUAGGAUGCGGCCAGAAGGCUGUCGUCAGGUGCUUGGGCCAUACCUGCAGAACUGUAAGAAAGUGGCCUCUGUUCUUUGUAAGUUACCCGGUCCUGGGGGUUCUGCCACAGCCGCAGGACGCAGAGGCCCCCAGGCCCCAGCGGGCAGUCACCUCUCACUGGGCUUCCUCUUCCUCAGGAGACCUGUCCUGGCUGCCUGCAGGCCGAGAGGGGCUUCUGUGCCGCGAUAGCGCAGAUGUCAGGGUGGUCGUUGGCAGCCGUGGCGUGGGCUUCACUUGCUUACCUUGCACUCCUGACGCUGUCGGAGCGAACCCUUUGCUACGUUUAUCCAUCUCUGUGGGUGUCUCCUCCUGGUGGGUCACGAAUGCUCAUGGUGAAAAAAGCCACUUUUCUCUCUUCCUGAGACUUAAUGGCCUAUUUUUCUGAUCUUAAGAAAGGCAACAUGGGUUUUGGGAACUCAUCUUAUUGUAUUUCCACAAGACAGCCUAGGGUACUUACUGUGAUCCUUUUUACAGCUAACACAACAUUUUGAGAACUCCCGUAUGACGUUAACUCUUGCACUUACUUCGUGGGGUACAGGUAGGAUUUUGGGAGCCACCAGUCUGGUUUCAAAUGAAAUCCUUGACCGCACUUAUUUCUUUCAAUUUUACUUUCCCAUUAGGCAAGAACAUGGCUCAGAUGGAUGUGCUGGGGCACACGCACCAGGAACCCCUGAGCAGGGUGCGAUCACUCACCAUUAAUGCUGGCAAGGAUCAAAGCGACUCGAAGAAAUACAGCUACUUAAGGAUGGACGAUAAAAUUGAAUUCAUGAAGCAGUUCCUUCUCCAUGGGUGAUUUCUUGGCGCUGAAGCACUGGAACUGCAUGCAGACUACGAGCGUAGAACUCCACACUGCAGUUAGCACACUUUAGAGAACAGGUAUUGAAUUUUAGCUGAGUUGAGCAUCAUCUUUUUCAAUUCCAAGGACAGCUGUUAAAUCAUGAAAUAUUUUGAGGUACAAAGCUCUUGCCUGUAAGAGAUCUUUUCUUUGUUCCUUUCAGAUCGACAUCCAUGAAAUAUUAUGUGAAGGAGUUGAUACCCUUAAAAACCAGAAACUAUUUACUCACUAGCUUCAAGUUCCUAAUAAGUCUUCUAAAAAUCAAUGAUAGGGGCCGGCGCUGUGGCACAGUGGGCUGGGCCUCCACCUGCAGUGGCAGCAACCCAUGUGAGCACGGGUUUGAGUCCUGGCUACUCCACUUCUGAUCAAGUUCUAUGCUAUGGCCUGGGAAAGCAGUAAAAGAUGACCCAAGUCCUUGGGCCUCUGCACCCACGUGGGAGACCUGGAAGAAGCUCCAGGCUCUUGGCUUCAAAUUGGCUCAGCUCCGGUUGUUGUGGCCAUUUUGGGGAGUGAAUAGUAGAUGGGAGACCUUCUCUCUCUCCCUCUCUCUCUUUGUAAUUCUACCUCUCAAAAUAAAAAAAACUUUAAAAAAAAAAAAAAAAACA
ensembl:lncRNA